rnacentral:lncRNA from 1 species
AGAAAGAGUUCUCCGCUCUCGAACUUAAGUCGAAUAAAUCUUAACAUAUGAUAGGCGAUGGAGUUUGAUGAGUUGUCCAUGACCUCCGUCCUGUAGGGAUCCACGAUAGAAGGACUGUAUCACAUGAUAACUGCACCUAGAGGUUCAUCAUUCUAUUCUGCUGGAUAGCCACUACAUGCUGCUAGGUAUCACUGGUGGAUGGUGGGACUCAUAGGGAUUAUCUCGAUGAUCGAUAAAUCCUGAUG